CCUACGGUGGGCAGCAGUGAGGAAUAUUGGUCAAUGGACGAGAGUCUGAUCCAGCCAAGUCGCGUGAAGGAUGACUGCCCUAUGGGUUGUAAACUUCUUUUAUAAAGGAAUAAAACGAGGCACGUGUGCCUUUUUGCAUGUACUUUAUGAAUAAGGAUCGGCUAACUCCGUGCCAGCAGCCGCGGUAAUCCGGAGGAUCCAAGCGUUACCCGGACUUACUGGGUGUAAAGGGCGCGUAGGGGGGUUGUUAAGUCAGAUGUGAAAGUCUGCGGCUCAACCAUAGAAUUGCAUUUGAUACUGGCAGUCUAGAGUAUAGGAGAGGUAGGCGGAAUUCGUGGUGUAGCGGUGAAAUGCGUAGAUAUCACGAGGAACCCCCAUUGCGAAGGCGGCCUACUAGACUAUGACUGACGUUGAGGCUCGAAAGUGUGGGGAGCAAACAGGAUUAGAUACCCUUGUAGUC
rnacentral:rRNA from 1 species